GGAAGAGUCGCGAGAUGGGCCCUAGAGCUACAGCAGUACGACUUUGAGGUGACGUACCGGAAGGGGCAGCUCAAUGUUGUGGCGGAUGCACUGUCUAGGCAGCCCGUGGCCGAGCGAUGCCUACGGAUAGAGGAUGAAGAAGGCAAUGAAGUGGAGCCGGAUAUCGGCGAAGGGUGCCAAUGGAUCCGAAAAGUGAAGGAGAGGAUGAAGGAGAAACCGGCAAAAUUCCCAGAUUAUGUAGAGGACGUUGGUGGAAUUUACAGAAACAUUCCCCACCGCGCCGGAGACGAGGAGGUGGUGGCGUGGAAGCUGUGUGUCCCAACGAAUCUACGGGAACAGGUUCUCAGGGAGAAUCACGACUCCCCAGGGGCUGGGCAUGCUGGCGGUCGGAAGACCAUGGCACGAAUUGCCGCAAGGUAUUAUUGGCCAGGGAUGUACCGGGACGUGAGGGCAUACGUGAGAAGGUACGAAACCUGCCUGCGUUUCAAACCAUGCCAGGUACGGGCAGCUGGGAAAAUGUUGACCCAGGUCCCAGAAGAGCCAUGGGCAACAGUGUGUGCGGACUUCGUGGGACCUCUGCCGAGAUCGAAGCAUGGGAACGCAAUGCUGUUGGUGUUAGUGGAUCGUUUCUCCAAAUGGACCGAAUUGGUACCGUUGAGAAAAGCCACUGCGGAAGCGCUGGUGAAGGCAGUCCGCGAAAGAAUCUUGGCUCGAUUUGGAGUGCCAAAGGUGAUGAUCACCGAUAACGGAGUCCAAUUUACAAGCCGCGUGUUCAAUAAGUUCUUGGGGGAAAUGGGGGUCAGACAGCAAUUCACCGCGCCAUACACACCCCAAGAGAACCCGACAGAACGUACAAACCGUACAGUGAAAACGAUGAUCGCACAGUUCACGGAGGGUGAUCAGCGGUGCUGGGAUGAGAAAUGGCCAGAGCUGAUGCUAGCUGUGAAUACAGGCGUAGCAGAGUGAAAGGGAUAUUCUCCAGCGUACAUCGUACAAGGAAGAGAGCCCCGACUGCCAAACGCGCUGUACGACGAGGGAGCCCUAG
rnacentral:lncRNA from 1 species